UACGUAGGGGGCAAGCGUUGUCCGGAAUUAUUGGGCGUAAAGCGCGCGCAGGCGGCUUACUAAGUCUGGUGUGAAAGCCCACGGCUCAACCGUGGAGGGCCAUUGGAAACUGGUAGGCUUGAGUGCAGGAGAGGAGAGCGGAAUUCCCGGUGUAGCGGUGAAAUGCGUAGAGAUCGGGAGGAACACCAGAGGCGAAGGCGGCGACCUGGACAGAUACUGACACUCAAAUGCGAAAGCGUGGGGAGCAAACAGG
rnacentral:rRNA from 1 species